rnacentral:rRNA from 1 species
GACCCCAGGUCAGGCGGGACUACCCGCUGAGUUUAAGCAUAUAAAUAAGCGGAGGAGAAGAAACUUACGAGGAUUCCCCUAGUAACGGCGAGCGAACCGGGAGAUGCCCAGCUUGAGAAUCGGGCGGCCGCGCCGUCCGAAUUGUAGUCUGGAGAGGCGUCCUCAGCGACGGACCGGGCCCAAGUCCCCUGGAAAGGGGCGCCUGGGAGGGUGAGAGCCCCGUCCGGCCCGGACCCUGUCGCCCCACGAGGCGCCGUCAACGAGUCGGGUUGUUUGGGAAUGCAGCCCAAAUCGGGCGGUAAACUCCGUCCAAGGCUAAAUACAGGCGAGAGACCGAUAGCGAACAAGUACCGCGAGGGAAAGAUGAAAAGGACUUUGAAAAGAGAGUCAAAGAGUGCUUGAAAUUGCCGGGAGGGAAGCGGAUGGGGGCCGGCGAUGCGCCCCGGCCGUAUGCGGAACGGCUUCGGCUGGUCCGCCGAUCGGCUCGGGGCGUGGACUGUUGUCGGCCGCGCCGGCGGCCAAAGCCCGGGGGCUCCGCGCCCCCGGCAGCCGUCGUCGGCGCAGCCGGUCACCGCGCGCCUCUGGCGCGCCCCUCGGGGCGGUGCGCUGCAACGGCCUGCGGGCUCCCCAUCCGACCCGUCUUGAAACACGGACCAAGGAGUCUGACAUGCGUGCGAGUCGACGGGUUCUGAAACCUGGGAUGCGCAAGGAAGCUGACGAGCGGGAGCCCUCACGGGCCGCACCGCUGGCCGACCCUGAUCUUCUGUGAAGGGUUCGAGUUGGAGCACGCCUGUCGGGACCCGAAAGAUGGUGAAC